rnacentral:rRNA from 1 species
UACGGUAGGGGGCUAGCGUUGUCCGGAUUUAUUGGGCGUAAAGAGCGUGUAGGCGGCCAGGUAGGUCUGGUGUGAAAACUCGAGGCUUAACCUCGAGAUGUCAUCGGAAACCAUCUGGCUAGAGUCCGGAAGAGGAGAGUGGAAUUCCUGGUGUAGCGGUGAAAUGCGCAGAUAUCAGGAAGAACACCAAUGGCGAAAGCAGCUCUCUGGGACGGUACUGACGCUGAGGAGCGAAAGCAUGGGGAGCGAACAGG